CUGGNCUUGACAUCCACGGAAGUUUUCAGAGAUGAGAAUGUGCCUUCGGGAACCGUGAGACAGGUGCUGCAUGGCUGUCGUCAGCUCGUGUUGUGAAAUGUUGGGUUAAGUCCCGCAGCGAGCGCAACCCUUAUCCUUUGUUGCCAGCGGUCCGGCCGGGAACUCAAAGGAGACUGCCAGUGAUAAACUGGAGGAAGGUGGGGAUGACGUCAAGUCAUCAUGGCCCUUACGACCAGGGCUACACACGUGCUACAAUGGCGCAUACAAAGAGAAGCGACCUCGCGAGAGCAAGCGGACCUCAUAAAGUGCGUCGUAGUCCGGAUUGGAGUCUGCAACUCGACUCCAUGAAGUCGGAAUCGCUAGUAAUCGUGGAUCAGAAUGCCACGGUGAAUACGUUCCCGGGCCUUGUACACACCGCCCGUCACACCAUGGGAGUGGGUUGCAAAAGAAGUAGGUAGCUUAACCUUCGGGAGGGCGCUUACCACUUUGUGAUUCAUGACUGGGGUG
rnacentral:rRNA from 1 species